GACGAACGCUGGCGGCGUGCCUAAUACAUGCAAGUCGAGCGAACGGACGAGAAGCUUGCUUCUCUGAUGUUAGCGGCGGACGGGUGAGUAACACGUGGAUAACCUACCUAUAAGACUGGGAUAACUUCGGGAAACCGGAGCUAAUACCGGAUAAUAUUUUGAACCGCAUGGUUCAAAAGUGAAAGACGGUCUUGCUGUCACUUAUAGAUGGAUCCGCGCUGCAUUAGCUAGUUGGUAAGGUAACGGCUUACCAAGGCAACGAUGCAUAGCCGACCUGAGAGGGUGAUCGGCCACACUGGAACUGAGACACGGUCCAGACUCCUACGGGAGGCAGCAGUAGGGAAUCUUCCGCAAUGGGCGAAAGCCUGACGGAGCAACGCCGCGUGAGUGAUGAAGGUCUUCGGAUCGUAAAACUCUGUUAUUAGGGAAGAACGUAUGUGUAAGUAACUGUGCACAUCUUGACGGUACCUAAUCAGAAAGCCACGGCUAACUACGUG
rnacentral:rRNA from 1 species